rnacentral:rRNA from 1 species
AGCGAACGCUGGCGGCAGGCCUAACACAUGCAAGUCGAGCGGGCACUUUCGGGUGUCAGCGGCGGACGGGUGAGUAACGCGUGGGAACGUGCCCUCUGGUUCGGAAUAACUCAGGGAAACUUGAGCUAAUACCGGAUACGCCCUUUUGGGGAAAGGCUUGCUGCCGGAGGAUCGGCCCGCGUCUGAUUAGCUAGUUGGUGAGGUAACGGCUCACCAAGGCGACGAUCAGUAGCUGGUCUGAGAGGAUGAUCAGCCACACUGGGACUGAGACACGGCCCAGACUCCUACGGGAGGCAGCAGUGGGGAAUAUUGGACAAUGGGCGCAAGCCUGAUCCAGCCAUGCCGCGUGAGUGAUGAAGGCCUUAGGGUUGUAAAGCUCUUUUAUCCGGGACGAUAAUGACGGUACCGGAGGAAUAAGCCCCGGCUAACUUCGUG